rnacentral:rRNA from 1 species
GAUGAACGCUGGCGGCGUGCCUAAUACAUGCAAGUCGAGCGAACAGAUGAGGAGCUUGCUCCUCUGACGUUAGCGGCGGACGGGUGAGUAACACGUGGAUAACCUACCUAUAAGACUGGGAUAACUUCGGGAAACCGGAGCUAAUACCGGAUAAUAUAUUGAACCGCAUGGUUCAAUAGUGAAAGACGGUUUUGCUGUCACUUAUAGAUGGAUCCGCGCCGCAUUAGCUAGUUGGUAGGGUAACGGCUUACCAAGGCAACGAUGCGUAGCCGACCUGAGGGGGUGAUCGGCCACACUGGAACGGAGACACGGUCCAGACUCCUACGGGAGGCAGCAGUAGGGAAUCUUCCGCAAUGGGCGAAAGCCUGACGGAGCAACGCCGCGUGAGUGAUGAAGGUCUUCGGAUCGUAAAACUCUGUUAUUAGGGAAGAACAAAUGUGUAAGUAACUAUGCACGUCUUGACGGUACCUAAUCAGAAAGCCACGGCUAACUACGUG